rnacentral:rRNA from 1 species
UACGUAGGGACCAAGCGUUGUUCGGAUUUACUGGGCGUAAAGGGCGCGUAGGCGGCUUGACAAGUCACUUGUGAAAUCUCCGGGCUUAACUCGGAACGGCCAAGUGAAACUGUCAUGCUAGAGUGCAGAAGGGGCAAUCGGAAUUCUUGGUGUAGCGGUGAAAUGCGUAGAUAUCAGGAGGAACACCGGUGGCGAAGGCGGGAUCCUGGGCCAGUACUGACGCUGAGGAGCGAAAGCGUGGGGAGCAAACAGG